rnacentral:lncRNA from 10 species
GUGGUGGAGCAGCUCAGCAGGAUAAUAAGCUUACUCGCCUGACCUUGGGUCUCUCUCUCAUCCUUUCUCUUGGCUAACCUUCAUUUUGGUGCCAAAACCCAGGAAGGGGAUAGGCUCUGGCUGGGCGUCCUUAGAGGAUUCUCUCUCUCUCUCUCCUAUCAUCCCUUACCCAGCCAACCUCCCCUUCCCGAACCUGCUAAAGACCCUAAGGAUCUCCCAAAAUUCUCCCAUUGUUGGCCACCUCAUCCACCAUCAAAGCCUCUGAGAGGGUUUUUACAGGGCCGUGUUAGAGCCUUCACCCAUGGAACAGUACAAGACAUGAUGCUACUCCGAGAAUACCGACAGCUCCAGGAACAGCAGUCCCUACUACCCAGCCUCUCCCCCCAACCAUCGCCCCUAUCCAGCAAGAAGCAGCCAGAGGACAACGGCGCCCCUCUUCUAUUACCUAUUAAAAGGCUGGAAUGUUAGGAACAAGUUGCACCAGAACCCCUCCCCCUUCCCACCCGCCCCCGCACCCCCCCCCCCCCACCCAAUGCAGCUGUCCCUUACCCUGAAUACUCUGCAGCUGCAUUCCUGGACCCUUAUCUAGGCACUACAGCAAGGUCACCAGACUUGCUUACAGCCCUACGGGCAGCAUGGGGGAGGUCACGAGAAACGUGGAUAAACCUAAGUUACACCCUCUUGUAAAUUCCUAUAUUGUAACCUGGUCACGAGAUGAUAUGUGGUAAGGUUAACCAACAAACAACCCCAGGGUCUCUCUCCCCCAUAUAAAACCCUCAUUUUGUAAGCUCAGGGCUGCCUCCUUUGACUGUGGUGAAGCAGCCUGGCAGGUUAGUAAACUUACUCUCC